GAAAUGCGAUAAGUAAUGUGAAUUGCAGAAUUCAGAGAAUCAUCGAAUCUUUGAACGCACCUUGUGCUCCUUGGUAUUCCUUGGAGCAUGCCUGUUUGAGUAUCAUGAAAUCUUCAAAGUAAAUCUUUUGUUAACUCAAUUGGUUUCUACUUUGGUAUUGGAGGUCUUUGCAGCUUCACACCUGCUCCUCUUUGUUCAUUAGCUGGAUCUCAGUGUUAUGCUUGGUUCCACUCGGCGUGAUAAGUUAUCUAUCGCUGAGGACACUGUAAAAGGUGGCCAAGGUAAAUGCAGAUGAACCGCUUCUAAUAGUCCAUUGACUUGGACAAUACUUUUAUGAUCUGAUCUCAAAUCAGGUAGGACUACCCGCUGAACUUAAGC
rnacentral:misc_RNA from 1 species